GACGUAGGUGGCGAACGUUAUCCGGAAUUAUUGGGCGUAAAGGGUGCGUAGAUGGCCUGAUAAGUUAGCAGUGGGAAAUCGAGGCUCAACCUCGUGGAAGCUGGUAAUACUGUCAGGCUCGAGUGCAGGAGAGGUUAACGGAACUCCAUGUGGAGCGGUAAAAUGUGUAGAUAUAUGGAAGAACACCAAUAACGGCGAAGGCAGUUAACUAUUCUGUUACUGACAUUGAGGCACGAAAGCGUGGGGAGCAAACAGG
rnacentral:rRNA from 1 species